ACCAGCAUCAAAUUCCAUUUUAUCUGUUAUUAUGGCAUAGGCCUCCCUUGUCAACGCUGCUCUCCCAUAAAGAUUCACCAUACAAGCAUAGUGUUCCAUGAUGGGUUCUAUUCUAUACUUAUUUGUCAUCAAUGAAAAGAGUUUUUCCCCAUCCUCCACCAAACCCAGAUGAGCACACGCAGAUAGGAUCGACACAAAUGUGAUAUUAUCUGGCAAAACAACAUCCUUCUCCAUCCUCUCAAAGUAAGAUAACACUUCAGGGUCUUUACAAUGAGCAGAAAUUAUGGAAUUCCAUGAGACGACGUCCCUUUCCGGCA
rnacentral:misc_RNA from 1 species